rnacentral:lncRNA from 1 species
GAGCUGCACUCCGCUGGGCUCUUGGCAGCACCCUGUGCUCUGAGGGUGUCUUGCCCGCCGGGCGCCGUGGCUCACGCCUGUAAUCCCAACACUUUGGGAGGCUGAGGCGGGCGGAUCACUUGAGGUCAAGAGUUCAAGACCAGCCUGGCCAACAUGGUGAAAGCCCAUCUCUACUAAAAAUACAAAAAUUAGCCAGGUGUGGUGGCGGGUGCCUGUAGUCCCAGCUAUUUGGGAGGCUGAGGCAGGAGAAUCGCUUGAACCCAGGAGGUGGAGGUUGCAGUACGAUUCUACUCUAAAAGUCACCAGGAAAAAUUCAGCUCCACUGGUCCUGGCUCUAAGUCUACUAGCAAAAUCUUCCAGAGAAGUGGAAAAGCCAUCAGCCAAUGUGUUAGACUAUCAUUUCCAUGACCUUACACCUAUCAAAAAGGCACUAUUACCAGGCUUAUAGAAUUCUAAAAAAGUUGGAAACCAUUUUCCAUUAUAAAAGAAAUUCUUCCAAAUCACACAAAACACUCUGACACUUCUCCAAUUCCCCCUAUCAUGGGGCUGGCAGCAGCCGCUUUGCGUCCUGAAUGUCAUGACAGUGAUGAUAACAGUAAUGAUGAUAACAGCAAUGAUGAAGUCUCACAUUUAAAAUUUUCAAGUCACUCAUCACAUCCCAAGUCACUCC